UUGGAGGGCAAGUCUGGUGCCAGCAGCCGCGGUAAUUCCAGCUCCAAUAGCGUAUAUUAAAGUUGUUGCAGUUAAAAAGCUCGUAGUUGAAUUUCGAGAUCAAAUUGUUGGUCGUGCCUCGGUACGUACUGGCAUUAUUGAUUUCUCCCUUCUGAAGAACCACGAUGUCAUUAAUUUGGUGUCGUGGGGAAUCAGGACUGUUACUUUGAAAAAAUUAGAGUGUUUAAAGCAGGCUCACGCUUGAAUACAUUAGCAUGGAAUAAUGAAAUAGGACGUUUGAUUCUAUUUUGUUGGUUUCUAGGAUUGACGUAAUGAUUAAUAGGGAUAGUUGGGGGCAUUAGUAUUCAAUUGUCAGAGGUGAAAUUCUUGGAUUUAUUGAAGACUAACUACUGCGAAAGCAUUUGCCAAGGAUGUUUUCAUUAAUCAAGAACGAAAGUUAGGGGAUCGAAGACGAUCAGAUACCGUCGUAGUCUUAACCAUAAACUAUGCCGACUAGGGGAUCGGGAUGAUGUUAAUUUUUAAUGACUCAUUC
rnacentral:rRNA from 1 species